CUUUUCGAGGUAGGAGUCGACUCCUGUGAGGUAUGGUGCUGGGUGCAGAUGCAGUGUGGCUCUGGAUAGCACCUUAUGGACAGUUGUGUCCCCAAGGAAGGAUGAGAAUAGCUACUGAAGUCCUAAAGAGCAAGCCUAACUCAAGCCAUUGGCACACAGGCAUUAGACAGAAAGCUGGAAGUUGAAAUGGUGGAGUCCAACUUGCCUGGACCAGCUUAAUGGUUCUGCUCCUGGUAACGUUUUUAUCCAUGGAUGACUUGCUUGGGUAUGGAGAGUCGGCUUGACUACACUGUGUGGAGCAAGUUUUAAAGAAGCAAAGGACUCAGAAUUCAUGAUUGAAGAAAUGCAGGCAGACCUGUUAUCCUAAACUAGGGUUUUUAAUGACCACAACAAGCAAGCAUGCAGCUUACUGCUUGAAAGACAGGGUCUUGCCUCACCCAAGCUAGAGUGCAGUGGCCUUUGAAGCUUACUACAGCCUCAAACUUCUGGGCUCAAGUGAUCCUCAGCCUCCCAGUGGUCUUUGUAGACUGCCUGAUGGAGUCUCAUGGCACAAGAAGAUUAAAACAGUGUCUCCAAUUUUAAUAAAUUUUUGCAAUCCA
rnacentral:lncRNA from 1 species